AUUGAACGCUGGCGGCGUGCUUUACACAUGCAAGUCGAACGGCAGCAUGGGAGCUUGCUCCUGAUGGCGAGUGGCGGACGGGUGAGUAAAACAUCGGAACGUGCCUUAUAGUGGGGGAUAACGAGUUGAAAGAUUUGCUAAUACCGCAUGAAUGUCUGAGGAUAAAAGCUGGGGAUCAGAAAUGACCUGGCGCUAUGAGAGCGGCCGAUGGCCGAUUAGCUAGUUGGUGAGGUAAAAGCUUACCAAGGCGAUGAUCUGUAGCUGGUCUGAGAGGACGACCAGCCACACUGGAACUGAGACACGGUCCAGACUCCUACGGGAGGCAGCAGUGGGGAAUUUUGGACAAUGGGCGCAAGCCUGAUCCAGCAAUGCCGCGUGCAGGAUGAAGG
rnacentral:rRNA from 1 species